UCUCUGGCUGACAUUUGAUCAAAGUUGUCAGAUUCAUUGACCUUAUUAUGUGUUCAAUCAAUUUCUCCAGGUUGCUAUCAGAAGACCCACCUUCCUGGACACUAUAUCCUGAGCUUGCUUUGCAAUCUCGUCUAUUGAUUUCAUAGUUUGUUCUCCCUUAUACCCUCCAUGAAACCUCUCACCAGGAAUGCCUAGGUUACACGCAAUUGAAUAUGAUUCAAGCACCAAAAAGUGUUUGUGAAGGUGACUUGGGAGCUAGCAUAACUGAGAAGCUCUGCUAGUUUGAGCAUGGGUUUGACGCGGCCUUGGGCAGGGAAGGGCAAGAAGACUGUGUGGGGUGCUUGAAGUUCUAGCUGCUGUUGCUCCAUUUUCAUAGAUUUUUUGCUAUAGUUAAGCUCCUGGAUUUUGAACUUUGGAAGAAUGAACUUUAUGUAUACAUAUGCAAGAUAAUUGAAACCAAAGUACUCCA